rnacentral:rRNA from 1 species
UNGGAAUUACUGGGCGUAAAGCGGGCGCAGACGGUUACUUAAGCAGGAUGUGAANUCCCCGGGCUCAACCUGGGAACUGCGUUNUGAACUGGGUGACUAGAGUGUGUCAGAGGGAGGUAGAAUUCCACGUGUAGCAGUGAAAUGCGUAGAGAUGUGGAGGAAUACCGAUGGCGAAGGCAGCCUCCUGGGAUAACACUGACGUUCAUGCCCGAAAGCGUGGGUAGCAAACAGGAUUAGAUACCCUGGUAGUCCACGCCCUAAACGAUGUCGAUUAGCUGUUGGGCAGCAUGACUGCUUAGUAGCGAAGCUAACGCGUGAAAUCGACCGCCUGGGGAGUACGGUCGCAAGAUUAAAACUCAAAGGAAUUGACGGGGACCCGCACAAGCGGUGGAUGAUGUGGAUUAAUUCGAUGCAACGCGAAGAACCUUACCUGGUCUUGACAUGUACGGAACCCUCCAGAGACGGAGGGGUGCCUUCGGGAGCCGUAACACAGGUGCUGCAUGGCUGUCGUCAGCUCGUGUCGUGAGAUGUUGGGUUAAGUCCCGCAACGAGCGCAACCCUUGUCAUUAGUUGCCAUCAUUAAGUUGGGCACUCUAAUGAGACUGCCGGUGACAAGCCGGAGGAAGGUGGGGAUGACGUCAAGUCCUCAUGGCCCUUAUGACCAGGGCUUCACACGUCAUACAAUGGUCGGUACAGAGGGUAGCCAAGCCGCGAGGCGGAGCCAAUCUCACAAAACCGAUCGUAGUCCGGAUUGCACUCUGCAACUCGAGUGCAUGAAGUCGGAAUCGCUAGUAAUCGCAGGUCAGCAUACUGCGGUGAAUACGUUCCCGGGUCUUGUACACACCGCCCGUCACACCAUGGGAGUGGGGGAUACCAGAAGUAGGUAGGGUAACCGCAAGGAG